rnacentral:lncRNA from 1 species
CCAGGCUGGAGUACAGUGGCAUGAUCCUAGCCCAUGGCAGCGUUGAUCUCUUGGCCUCAAGCGACCCUCCUUUGGAGUCGCUGGGCCUAAAGGAGUGAGCCACCACGAAAUUUUAUUAUAAAUGGAGGGUAGAGAAAUUGGGCAAUAAAUGGAGGGGGAAGUGAGUUAAGAGGAAUUUUAAUUAUGUGUGUGUGGUUUUAAAAGAGGGGGGUCUUGCUCUGUUGCCCAGGCUGCUGGGGUGCCAGUGGCGCAAUCAUGAAUCACUACAGCCUUGGACUCCUGGCCUCAAGCUAUCCUCCCACCUCUGCCUCCCAAAGUACUGGGAUUACUAGUGUGAGCCACUGCACUAAGAUAGGAGCAACAUGUUUCAGCAUGUUUGUGGGUUGAUAGGAAAGAUGAGAAUGGGAAAGUUGAUGUCGGAAAGAAGACAAUGGCUAGAGCAAUGUCCUAGAGUAGGUAAGAAGGGAUGGAUUUGGCCUUUGUUGGAAACAUUAGCGGUUCUUUUGGUGACAGCUAUAUAGUUAACACAUCUAUGAUACGUGAAUGGGCAGAUAGGAUGGCAGGAGAUUUUGAAAGUUCUCUUGAUUCUUACUGUUCUCUUAGUGAAAGAAGCAAGGUUAUCAGCUAGAAGCUGGGAUGGGAGAGGAAAGAGAAGAUGGGAAGUAGAUAGUUCUUUAGAAGAGUGGGCAAGGGUUGGACUAGGGAAGUUUAGUGGAAAUAUUGCUAGGCAACAUAAAGAGCCUACUUGAGAUUCGUGGUCAUGAGUUGAAGGAGACCAGACAGCAAGAUUGUGUAUGAGGGCACCCACAGAGUAAAUGGAGAGUUGAAAUUAAUGCAGUUGUGAUUUUACCACGUGGAUAUGAAGAAGUGAGGGGGAGAAGUACAAAGGAGUUCUCUUAAUGAUUGACCAUGGAAUUUAAGCUGGCUAAGAAAGGAAGCGUGAGCCACCGCGCCAGCCAGAGCAGGGAAGAUUUCUUCCCCACAUCUCCAGUAGGUACAGUGAUAUGAAGUGUGUGGAGGAGAAAAGAGGAAACAUCUAUCAUUUGAGAUGGCUGCGAAAGGAAAAGGCAUCCUCAGGGAGCUAGAUUUUACUUAGAGCAAGAAAUGAAGGGAUGAUUCAGAGGUUAAAAGAGUGGAUUUUAUGAAUUACUCAAGGGAGCACAGUGGAAGUUUCAGGAAGUGGUAGGAGAAGGUAGAAGAUGGCAGGGUGUUGGGAAUAAUUUGAGAAAUCUGAGCUACUGGAAAUGACUGAGAAUCAGAUAUAAAGGCAGUCCUGGUGGUCCGUUCUGGCUGCCGUUGCUGUGUAACGAAUCUGCCAAAACUUAGUGGCUUGAAA